UACGUAGGGACCAAGCGUUGUUCGGAUUUACUGGGCGUGAAGGGCGCGUAGGCGGGUGCUCAAGUCCGGGGUGAAAUCCUCCAGCUCAACUGGAGAACUGCCUCGGAUACUGGGUGCCUCGAGGGUGGUAGGGGUAUGCGGAACUAUCGGUGGAGCGGUGAAAUGCGUUGAUAUCGUAAGGAAGACCAGUGGCGAAGGCGGGUCUCUGGACAGUUCCUGACGCUGAGGCACGAAGGCCAGGGGAGCAAACGGG
rnacentral:rRNA from 1 species